AUUGAACGCUGGCGGCAUGCUUUACACAUGCAGGUCGAACGGGAACAGGCCUUCGGGUGCUGACGAGUGGCGAACGGGUGAGUAAUGCAUCGGAACGUACCCAGAGGUGGGGGAUAACGCAGCGAAAGCUGUGCUAAUACCGCAUGUGAUCUGAGGAUGAAAGCGGGGGACCGAGCAGCAAUGUUUGGCCUCGCGCCUUUGGAGCGGCCGAUGUCGGAUUAGCUAGUUGGUGGGGUAAAGGCCUACCAAGGCGACGAUCCGUAGCUGGUCUGAGAGGACGACCAGCCACACUGGGACUGAGACACGGCCCAGACUCCUACGGGAGGCAGCAGUGGGGAAUUUUGGACAAUGGGCGCAAGCCUGAUCCAGCAAUGCCGCGUGCGGGAAGAAGGCCUUCGGGUUGUAAACCGCUUUUGGCAGGAACGAAACGGUGUCCGCUAAUACCGGGCGCUAAUGACGGUACCUGCAGAAUAAGCACCGGCUAACUACGUG
rnacentral:rRNA from 1 species